CCUACGGGUGGCAGCAGUGAGGAAUAUUGGUCAAUGGACGCAAGUCUGAACCAGCCAUGCCGCGUGCAGGAAGACGGCUCUAUGAGUUGUAAACUGCUUUUGUACGAGGGUAAACGCAGAUACGCGUAUCUGUCUGAAAGUACCGUACGAAUAAGGAUAGGCUAACUCCGUGCCAGCAGCCGCGGUAAUACGGAGGAUUCAAGCGUUAUCCGGAUUUAUUGGGUUUAAAGGGUGCGUAGGCUGGGAGGUAAGUCAGCGGUGAAAUGCCCCCGCUCAACGGGGUGAAGUGCCAUUGAUACUGUCUUGCUGGAAUGCGGAUGCGGUGGGAGGAAUGUGUGGUGUAGCGGUGAAAUGCAUAGAUAUCACACAGAACACCGAUUGCGAAGGCAGCUCACGAAUCCGCGAUUGACGCUGAUGCACGAAAGCGUGGGUAUCAAACAGGAUUAGAUACCCCGGUAGUC
rnacentral:rRNA from 1 species